GACGAACGCUGGCGGCGUGCCUAAUACAUGCAAGUCGAACGCAGUGGGGACGGCUUAGUAACACGUGGUUAACCUCCCAUCAGAGGGGAUAACACUUGGAAACAGGUGCUAAACCUAUACUGCUGGCUGGACCCGCGGUGCAUUAGCUAGUUGGUGAGGUAACGGCUCACAAAGGCAACGAUGCAUAGCCGACCUGCGAGGGUGAUCGGCCACACUGGGACUGAGACACGGCCCAGACUCCGACGGGAGGCAGCAGUAGGGAAUCUUCGGCAAUGGACGAAAGUCUGACCGAGCAACGCCGCGUGAGUGAAGAAGGUUUUCGGAUCGUAAAACUCUGUUGUUAGAGAAGCGGUAUCUAAUCAGAAAGCCACGGCUAACUACGUGCCAGCAGCCGCGGUAAUAC
rnacentral:rRNA from 1 species